CCUGCGGAAGGAUCAUUAUUGAAUAAACUUGAUGGGUUGUAGCUGGCUCCUUGGAGCAUGUGCACGCUCAUCAUCUUUACAAUCCACCUGUGCACAAUCUGUAGUCUUUGGGGGAGAUGAGAGCGGCUGACCCGACCCAACCCUCGACAAUAUAUGUCGGAUACAAUGAAUGCUAUGCGAAAGCGUGGCUCUCGUUGAAAUGGGACGGGUAAAGGUUUGUGACUUGUCCUCAAGGUCUAUGUGUCUUCAUACACUACAUAACAUGUUAAAGAAUGUAUUCAAUGGGACUUUUUGUGCCUAUAAUAACUUAUACAACUUUCAGCAACGGAUCUCUUGGCUCUCGCAUCGAUGAAGAACGCAGCGAAAUGCGAUAAGUAAUGUGAAUUGCAGAAUUCAGUGAAUCAUCGAAUCUUUGAACGCACCUUGCGCUCCUUGGUAUUCCGAGGAGCAUGCCUGUUUGAGUGUCAUUAAAUUCUCAACCCAUCCAGUUUUAAUAACUGGUGUGUGGCUUGGAUGUGGGGGUCUCUGCCGGCCUUUGUAAUAAGAGGUCAGCUCCCCUGAAAUGCAUUAGCGGAACGGUUUGCGAUCCGUCACUGGUGUGAUAAUUAUCUAUGCCAAAGACUUGUGAACGCUCUCUGUCUGUUCAGCUUCUAACAGUCCCUUCAUGUGGACAACCUUUAUAAUGAACAUUUUGAC
rnacentral:rRNA from 1 species